rnacentral:rRNA from 1 species
AUAGGAAUCUCCCCAAUGGUGUGGAAUACCUCUGCGAAAGCAGGGCUAAUACCGCAUGACCUCGCAAGAGAAAAGCGCGUAACUGCGCGCCGAUGGAUGAGCCUAUCUCCCAUCAGGCUGUUGGUAGGGUAAUGGCCUACCAAACCUAUGACGGGUACCCGCCCUGAGAGGGGAAACGGGCAGAAUGGGACUGAGACACGGCC